GAUGAACGCUGGCGGCGUGCCUAAUACAUGCAAGUCGAGCGAACGGACGAGAAGCUUGCUUCUCUGAUGUUAGCGGCGGACGGGUGAGUAACACGUGGAUAACCUACCUAUAAGACUGGGAUAACUUCGGGAAACCGGAGCUAAUACCGGAUAAUAUUUUGAACCGCAUGGUUCAAAAGUGAAAGACGGUCUUGCUGUCACUUAUAGAUGGAUCCGCGCUGCAUUAGCUAGUUGGUAAGGUAACGGCUUACCAAGGCAACGAUGCAUAGCCGACCUGAGAGGGUGAUCAGCCACACUGGAACUGAGACACGGUCCAGACUCCUACGGGAGGCAGCAGUAGGGAAUCUUCCGCAAUGGGCGAAAGCCUGACGGAGCAACGCCGCGUGAGUGAUGAAGGUCUUCGGAUCGUAAAACUCUGUUAUUAGGGAAGAACAUAUGUGUAAGUAACUGUGCACAUCUUGACGGUACCUAAACAGAAAGCCACGGCUAACUACGUG
rnacentral:rRNA from 1 species